AAGUCGUAACAAGGUUUCCGUAGGUCAACGACAGGAAGGGCCCCAAUUCUUCAAAUAAAGGGGGGGGUUGUGGUGGCCUCGGGGGUGCGCCCCAAAUCCACAACACACCUGUGAACCCCACCGUAGGCCCUCGGGCUUAUGUAUUAUCAUAUACUCUGAUCAUAGAAUGUAAAUAUUUUGCCUUAAAAACGCAAUGAAAUACAA
rnacentral:misc_RNA from 1 species